rnacentral:rRNA from 1 species
AUUGAACGCUGGCGGCAGGCCUAACACAUGCAAGUCGAGCGGAGCGGCGGACGGGUGAGUAAUGCCUAGGAAUCUGCCUGGUAGUGGGGGAUAACGUCCGGAAACGGGCGCUAAUACCGCAUACUAUCAGAUGAGCCUAGGUCGGAUUAGCGAGUUGGUGGGGUAAAGGCCUACAAAGGCGACGAUCCGUAACUGGUCUGAGAGGAUGAUCAGUCAGACUGGAACUGAGACACGGGACAGACUCCUACGGGAGGCAGAAGGGGGGAAUAUUGGACAAUGGGCGAAAGCCUGAUCCAGCCAUGCCGCGUGUGUGAAGAAGGUCUGCGGAUUGUAAAGCACUGUAAGUUGGGAGGCGUUACCAACAGAAUAAGCACCGGCUAACUUCGUGCCAGCAGCCGCGGUAAUUC